GACGAACGCUGGCGGCGUGCUUAACACAUGCAAGUCGAACGAUGAAGCUUGGUGCUUGCACUGGGUGGAUUAGUGGCGAACGGGUGAGUAACACGUGAGUAACCUGCCCUUUACUUCGGGAUAAGCUUGGGAAACUGGGUCUAAUACCGGAUAUUCUGCGUGAUCGGAUGGUUGUGUAGGAAAGAUUUUUCGGUAAGGGAUGGGCUCGCGGCCUAUCAGUUUGUUGGUGGGGUGAUGGCCUACCAAGACGACGACGGGUAGCCGGCCUGAGAGGGCGACCGGCCACACUGGGACUGAGACACGGCCCAGACUCCUACGGGAGGCAGCAGUGGGGAAUAUUGCACAAUGGGGGAAACCCUGAUGCAGCGACGCCGCGUGGGGGAUGGCGGCCUUCGGGUUGUAAACCUCUUUCAGUAGGGAAGAAGCGAAAGUGACGGUACCUGCAGAAGAAGUACCGGCUAACUACGUGCCAGCAGCCGCGGUAAUACGUAAGGUACUAGCGUUGUCCGGAAUUAUUGGGCGUAAGAGCUCGUAGGUGGUUUGUCGCGUCUGCUGUGGAAACGUGCCGCUGUAUGGUGCGCGUGCAGUGGGUACGGGCGGACUAGAGUGCAGUAGGGGAGUCUGGAAUUCCUGGUGUAGCGGUGAAAUGCGCAGAUAUCAGGAGGAACACCGGUGGCGAAGGCGGGACUCUGGGCUGUUACUGACGCCGAGGAGCGAAAGCAUGGGGAGCGAACAGGAUUAGAUACCCUGGUAGUCCAUGCCGUAAACGUUGGGCACUAGGUGUGGGGUCCAUUCCACGGAUUCUGCGCCGUAGCUAACGCAUUAAGUGCCCCGCCUGGGGAGUACGGCCGCAAGGCUAAAACUCAAAGGAAUUGACGGGGGCCCGCACAAGCGGCGGAGCAUGCGGAUUAAUUCGAUGCAACGCGAAGAACCUUACCAAGGCUUGACAUGCACUAGACCAUCGCAGAGAUGUGGUUUUCUUUUUGACUGGUGUACAGGUGGUGCAUGGUUGUCGUCAGCUCGUGUCGUGAGAUGUUGGGUUAAGUCCCGCAACGAGCGCAACCCUCGUUCUAUGUUUCCAGCACGUGAUGGUGGGAACUCAUGGGAGACUGCCGGGGUCAACUCGGAGGAAGGUGGGGAUGACGUCAAAUCAUCAUGCCCUUUGUGUCUUGGGCUUCACGCAUGCUACAAUGGCCGGUACAGAGGGUGGCGAUACCGUGAGGUGGAGCGAAUCUCUUAAAGCCGGUCUCAGUUCGGAUCGUAGUCUGCAACUCGACUACGUGAAGUCGGAGUCGCUAGUAAUCGCAGAUCAGCAAUGCUGCGGUGAAUACGUUCCC
rnacentral:rRNA from 1 species